rnacentral:rRNA from 1 species
UACGUAGGGUGCGAGCGUUAAUCGGAAUUACUGGGCGUAAAGCGUGCGCAGGCGGUGAUGUAAGACCGAUGUGAAAUCCCCGGGCUUAACCUGGGAACUGCAUUGGUGACUGCAUUGCUGGAGUAUGGCAGAGGGGGGUGGAAUUCCACGUGUAGCAGUGAAAUGCGUAGAGAUGUGGAGGAACACCGAUGGCGAAGGCAGCCCCCUGGGCCAAUACUGACGCUCAUGCACGAGAGCGUGGGGAGCAAACAGG